AACUUUCAGCAAUGGAUCACUUGGUUCUGGCAUCGAUGAAGAACGCAGCGAAAUGCGAUAAGUAACGUGAAUUGCAGAAUUCAGUGAAUCAUCGAAUCAUUGAACGCACAUUGCGCCCUCUGGUAUUCCGGGGGGCAUGCCUGUUCGAGCGUCAUUACAACCCUCAAGCUCAGCUUGGUAUUGGGCCUCGCCGGUUCCGGCGGGCCUCAAAGUCAGUGGCGGUGACAUCCGGCUUCAAGCGUAGUAACACUCUCGCUUCUGGAGACCCGGGUGCGUGCUUGCCAGCAACCCCAACUUUCUCAAGGUUGACCUCGGAUCAGGUAGGGAUACCCGCUGAACUUAAGCAUAUCAAUAAGCGGCGGCU
rnacentral:misc_RNA from 1 species